UCCAUUUCUUUAUCCACACACCGAACCUGCAUGAAUCACACCAGAUGAACUGCCUGGCAAUUCUGCCAAUUGUUCUGCCGGCGUUAUCCAGCCAGAGCUACUCCUAUCUGGUGUGUUAUCGCCAAAUAAUUCUGGUGUCCAGCACCACCCAUUCCAAGCCCAGUAUGGGACGAAAGCAGAGUUUUAGGCGAAUACCUGAGUCGAGUCACGUGUGCCUGGCUGUAGAAGAAGCACAUGAUUGCACAUCAAGAUCGCCAGACGACAUCGUGUUUCGUGCAAGGUAGAACGGCAUGCGGGGAAUACCCUAGCUUGGGCCUAGUAUAGGGACUCGCAGGCUCGCUGUCUCCAGCUACAUGUACACGUACGCACACAAUGGCACAGGGAGCUGUUUAAGUUAGUUUGUUGGAACUGUGCCUAACCAGCUGACCACAGCUGUUUCGGCGGAACUCUACCAGACUUGGAAAAACAGCGUCAACACUGUACGACUGAGUCUUCCGUACCGAUUGAUCCUGGCUUCACCAAGGCCAGGAAAAGUAUGUCGGAGGCCUUAUCGCAGAGACUGUCGCACGCACGUGUUUUACUGACUACUGUCUUGAUAGCACAGUCACGAUCAAGUCGCCGACGUGAGCCUCGCACGCGGCCUGCGAGUAGCUAACCAGUUACCUCCAACGCUAGCAGCAGGUAACUGGUUAUCUAUACUGGUACAGCCGAACAUUUCGCCUAUAAAUACGGGAGGAGCGCACAUUUUUCGGUAUCUUUUUUCAAACGUUUGGGGCUGUGUGCCCGGUGGUGUCCGGUGCUUUUGUUUUGUUUUUUUUCUUCAUCAAAAGAUCUCAAGUUCUCGAUGUGACGACAACAGCUAACGUUCGCAUCAAAAUCUCCUUUGGUUUCCGUCUGCAGUGGAAACCAAUGUUUGUCCAAGUCGCAGAGUUGGAUCGCUAGUUCGUGUGUAGAGUCGUAUGGACGCUACAGUAAGCUAGCGUAGGCAGCUGGGCUUGCGUGCUCAUGCGACCCACGACGCAAGCUCCCGGUGCGGCCCCGUCCGCCCGGAAUCGUAUUGGUUCUCUUCACCGUUAGUCUUCUUCCCCAGUCUUCUUUUCUAUCCGCAUUUAUCUUCCGUUCCGGGAUCAGUCGUCGUUCUGGCUUACCAGUAGGCCAGAAGAGAUCGCUGUCAAAAGGCCGGAUACCUCUAGCAAUGAGCUGUGUCAACAAUAUGUGCUCACAGCCUACCGUCCCGGCUGGCGACCACCGUGCAGUGGUGGGAUGGCUUCAUCUUGGUCGACACCUACGCGCAUACACACACGCUGCUCGCAGUAUUGGUGGUGGUGUUGCCCGUGGCGUGCGGCCAAGAACAAAGAGUCGCCGCUUUUAUCAUGAACUCCCCAAUAAGGCUCAUUGCGUUUCGUCAGCUGAUCUCUCUGCCUGAUAACACAAGCACAGGGUUAUGUGCUCUUGUUGUUUUAUGGUAGCUGGACUUUGCUCUAUCUGGCGACUGAUCUAUUUGUGUACACAUGUUUCUUGGUCGUAGUAAUAGUAAUACGCAGCUACUUGUCUCUGAUUUUUCACGUUUUUUUCUUUCUUUUCUUUCUGAGCGUCGAUUUCUGCUCGUGUCCAUGUGUCAGGCGUAGUAAUGGUUUCACAUUCUGCAAAAAAUUAUUACGGAUAUGUGCAUGUACGUGUUCGUGCUGUGCAUAGUCCAGUCACAA